ACGAACGCUGGCGGCGUGCUUCACACCUGCCAGUCGAACGGAAAGGCCCUGCUUUUGUGGGGUGCUCGAGUGGCGAACGGGUGAGUAACACGUGAGUAACCUGCCUUGACUUUGGGGUAACUUCAGGGAAAUGGGGCUAAUACCGGAUAGGAGCUCCUUCUGCAUGGGGGGGGGUUGAAAGGUUCGGCGGUUGGGGAUGGACUCGCGGCUUAUCAGCUUGUUGGUGGGGGAGUGGCUUACCAAGGCUUUGACGGGUAGCCGGCCUGAGAGGGUGACCGGCCACAUUGGGACUGAGAUACGGCCCAGACUCCUACGGGAGGCAGCAGUGGGGAAUAUUGCACAAUGGGCGGAAGCCUGAUGCAGCAACGCCGCGUGCGGGAUGACGGCCUUCGGGUUGUAAACCGCUUUCGCCUGUGACGAAGCGUGAGUGACGGUAAUGGGUAAAGAAGCACCGGCUAACUACGUG
rnacentral:rRNA from 1 species